rfam:Gossypium raimondii Chr07_contig_752, whole genome shotgun sequence.
GAGAGCACAGUACGAUGAAAGUUGUAAGUUGUGUUCGGGGGGAGUUAUUGUCUAUCAUUGGCCUCUAUGGUAGAACCAGUCAGGGGCCUGAGAGGCGGUGCUUUACCCUGU